AGCGAACGCUGGCGGCAGGCCUAACACAUGCAAGUCGAGCGCCGUAGCAAUACGGAGCGGCAGACGGGAGAGUAACACGUGGGAACGUACCCUUUGGUUCGGAACAACCCAGGGAAACUUGGACUAAUACCGGAUAAGCCCUUACGGGGAAAGAUUCAUCGCCGAAGGAUCGGCCCGCGUCUGAUUAGCUAGUUGGUGGGGUAAUGGCCCACCAAGGCGACGAUCAGUAGCUGGUCUGAGAGGAUGAUCAGCCUCACUGGGACUGAGACACGGCCCAGACUCCUACGAGAGGCAGCAGUGGGGAAUAUUGGACAAUGGGCGCAAGCCUGAUCCAGCCAUGCCGCGUGGGUGAUGAAGGCCCUAGGGUUGUAAAGCCCUUUCGGCGGGGAAGAUAAUGACGGUACCCGCAGAAGAAGCCCCGGCUAACUUCGUGCCAGCAGCCGCAGAAAAAC
rnacentral:rRNA from 1 species